UAUUGUCUAAUUUCAUUGUCCGACUUGUACUAGUAUGUUGACGUUUGUGAGCUCGCGCUUCAUUAGCCAAUGCUGCCUGAACGCUGUUAACGCUAAGUGUGCGCUAUUGUCGCAUUGGAUGAUGCGCCUAGAAAGCGAUGUUUAUCUCCAUGUCGAAGGACCGCUCCGACAAGAAACCACGUUCAACUGCAAAGAAGCAAAACACGAGUAAAUCCUGGUGUGGUUUUCCACCGCGGGAAACAGCUCUGGGACCAGAAGUCCAGUCCAGUCCUCCCCAGUGUUGGACCAGCACCUGCCUUUUCUUCUGUGUCUGGCCUCAUCAACCAUCAACAACCACAUUACAGUAACACCUCAGAGUAUUAUCCCUGCACAGAACACAUAUUGUCUAUACUGCGAUCUUUUGCACAUCCUGCUCAGCAGGAGUUUUGUCAACACUUUUGUACAUAGUUUUUUUCAUAGCUUUAUUAUUUUAAUAUGUGUAUCUAUGUAUAUUUAUCUUUUUGCUUGUUGCAGUAUUUUACCCUUUUAUUGCUAUUUCCUGUUAAUAUGUUUAUUGGAAACACCAAGCCAAAUACCUUGUAAGUAAAAACCUACCUGGCAAUAAACCUUAUUUUCUGA